GUCCCCAAAGAGAAGAAAACCUGCUUCUCCGUUUGCUGGCGGAUCUGGACAUGGCCUGUGUUCUUCUUCUGACUCCGGCCUCCCCAGUGCGAGCUGCCACCUGCCAGUGCCGUAAGGUGUUACAAUUAAAGGCUGCAGCAUCCCAGUAUACCAUUGCUUACAGGCUUUGAUGGUGAAGUCCAGUGGGAAAAUGGAUUCUCUUCUGAAUAGCUCCUAAGAAGCAGAUUUUAUACAUCAAGGACAACAGAGAUAUGAGAAGCCCAAAAAACCCAACAAGAUUCCACAAAUAGAGUCCUGGCUCUUCAUCAUCAUCAUCAGUAGUUUAAGAAUCAAUGAAGCUUGGUGUUAUAUUUGAAAAAGAAGUGAGACCCUGCUCUCAUUUCUGCUUUCAUUCAGGACAAUGAAGAGCUUCUGUCAGGCACAGCAGCGGCCUGUGAACUGACAAGCAUUGUCCCAGGAAACCUAAGCAGGAACAGUCUCCUCUCUCUGCCCAGCAAGCAACCAGCUUGAGAAAAAAAGAGUGGCAGGAUUCACAGAAAGAGCCAAUGCAAAUCUGCUCAUGAGCAAGGAUGGUGUGUAUGAGCCUUUUUGAAGGAAAGAGAUGGCAGAAGCAGGAAUUUGCAUCUGGAUAGGCCUUGUGCUACAUUGGUAGGACCUGACUCCUCGCAUCAUCAAAAGCCAGCAAUACUGAUAGAAUGAAUUUAGUGAAUAUAGCUACCCGUAAACUACAGUGACAGUAAGGGAUACGCUUAGACCACUGCUACUGAGAGAUCAUUCCAUCAAUAUACUCUUUUUCUUCCACCCUCAAAUGUGAAGGUGCUGGAGAACAGCCUUGGAGACGUGGAUUGUUCACAGAAGCAAUAUGUCACAAGCCA